AGUCACUGACAUUAGAUACCCGUGUAGUCCAGGGUGUAAACGCUGCAGACUUGGUGUUGGAGGCCUUUGGGGCAUUCAGUGCCGGAGAGAAGUUGUUAAGUCUGCUACUUGGGGAGUACGUCCGCAAGGAUGAAACUUAAAGGAAUUGGCGGGGGAGCACCGCAACGGGAGGAGCGUGCGGUUUAAUUGGAUUCAACACCGUAAAACUCACCAGGGAAGACUGUUACAUGAAGGCCGAGAUGAAGACUCUGCUAGAUUUUCAG
rnacentral:rRNA from 1 species